rnacentral:rRNA from 1 species
GACGAACGCUGGCGGCGUGCCUAAUACAUGCAAGUCGAGCGGACAGAAGGGAGCUUGCUCCCGGAAGUUAGCGGCGGACGGGUGAGUAACACGUGGGCAACCUACCCUGUAGAUCGGGAUAACAUCGAGAAAUCGGUGCUAAUACCGGAUAAUCAUUUGAAGUGCAUGCUUCGAAUGUAAAAGAUGGCUCCGGCUAUCACUACGGGAUGGGCCCGCGGCGCAUUAGCUGGUUGGUAAGGUAAUGGCUUACCAAGGCAACGAUGCGUAGCCGACCUGGGAGGGUGAUCGGCCACACUGGGACUGAGACACGGCCCAGACUCCUACGGGAGGCAGCAGUAGGGAAUCUCCCGCAAUGGACGAAAGUCUGACGGAGCAACGCCGCGUGAGUGAUGAAGGUUUUCGGAUCGUAAAGCUCUGUUGUUAGGGAAGAACAAGUGCCGUUUGAAUAAGGCGGCACCUUGACGGUACCUAACCAGAAAGCCACGGCUAACUACGUGCCAGCAGCCGCCGUAAGAC